AGAGUUUGAUCCUGGCUCAGGACGAACGCUGGCGGCGUGCCUAACACAUGCAAGUCGAGCGGGGGACUUUUAGUCCCUAGCGGCGGACGGGUGAGUAACACGUGGGUAAUCUACCCGGAAGACUGGGAUAACGGCUCGAAAGGGCCGCUAAUACCGGAUAAUGUCGGUACCUCGCAUGGGGUAUUGAAGAAAGGGGAAACCCGCUUUCGGAUGAGCCCGCGGCCCAUCAGCUAGUUGGUGAGGUAACGGCUCACCAAGGCGACGACGGGUAGCCGGUCUGAGAGGAUGGUCGGCCACACUGGGACUGAGAUACGGCCCAGACUCCUACGGGAGGCAGCAGUCGGGAAUAUUGGGCAAUGGGCGAAAGCCUGACCCAGCGACGCCGCGUGAGGGAAGAAGGCCUUCGGGUCGUAAACCUCUGUCAUCGGGGGCGAAGGAAGUGACGGUACCCGAGGAGGAAGCCCCUGCUAACUACGUGCCAGCAGCCGCGGUAAUACGUAGGGGGCGAGCGUUGUCCGGAGUUACUGGGCGUAAAGGGCGUGUAGGCGGCCUGUUAAGUCAGGUGUGAAAUUCCGGGGCUUAACUCCGGAGCUGCGCUUGAAACUGGCAGGCUAGAGGGCAGGAGAGGGAAGUGGAAUUCCCGGUGUAGCGGUGGAAUGCGUAGAUAUCGGGAGGAACACCAGUGGCGAAGGCGGCUUCCUGGACUGUACCUGACGCUGAGGCGCGAAAGCUAGGGGAGCAAACAGGAUUAGAUACCCUGGUAGUCCUAGCCGUAAACGAUGAGUGCUAGGUGUGGGGGGUUAAAAUCCCUCCGUGCCGGAGUUAACACAAUAAGCACUCCGCCUGGGGAGUACGGCCGCAAGGCUAAAACUCAAAUGAAUUGACGG
rnacentral:rRNA from 1 species